AGUUGUCUGGACUAUUGGUGGUUUAGCUACAAUCUUGAGCCGAUACUAAUUAGAACAGGGAGUUUUGGUGUUUUGACUAGAGAGCAAGCUUUGGUGCCUUGCACUGACAAAGAAGCCCAACGUUGAAACUAUGACACCCACUUGAUACCAAAGGGAUCAAGAACAUUGAGCUAAAACGGUAGCCUGGACAACUA
rnacentral:other from 1 species